UCGAGUAUGGUGUAACGGCUAACAUUACCGCCUUUCAAUUGACACGUCGCGGUAGCUCGGGGUUCGAUUCCCCGUACUCGAA
rnacentral:tRNA from 1 species